ensembl:lncRNA
CGGCGAAAGUUUCUUUGUGGCCUUUUUUGGAGGGAGCUAGUGGGGGCUUCUCGCCGAAGGUGGAGAACGAGCCCUGCGAGUGAGGACGUGACACCCCGCCCCCAUAGAUGGCAGGGAGGCACUUGAUAAACUCGCCUGAGCCAGGUGUGGGGGUGGAAGCAGCAUUCCAUUGCAGCAACGUCUGCUCCCAGAUCAGACUCAGCUGGGGUUCCAGAGGGGAGAUGCUGAAAACGGGGAAGGAAAAGGAGCAAUCUAAAACCAGAGUGCCUCUGGUGCUGGUGGGAGGAGAAUAUCCCAAGGAGCCGGAGCCCCCCCUGAGAUGAAGAGCCAGGCGCCCCUUGGGGACCCCGAGAAAGAGCAACAAGUAGUCCCCUCCGCCGCAGAGCUAUCAGGAGAGUCUGUAUCUGAAGAAGGAAGACAGCUGGGGUUCCAGGUAGGGCUGGCUGCGUACUUCGGGGUGUGUGCGUGUGUAUGUGUGUGUGUCUGCCCCAGGAUUUGCCCGAUGGAAGCACAGCUGGAGCAAAGAAUUGGGCUUUCAGCCGCCUACCUCCUUUUUCCUAAAAAUCCCCUGGAAAUCGGCCCCCUGCUAGGAGGUGGGUGUGGCUUGCCCCAUGCCUGGGAUCAAAUGGCUGGAACCUUUAGAAUCAAUGAUGCUAAAUCCCCACCAGGAGGGAAGGACCUGGAAGGUUCCAGUGGCCAACCCAGUGCACACUGCCAGGCUGGGGCAGAGCCACAUGAAGGCGCCUUGUGGAGCCACCCUGGUGUUCCCAGAGCAUGCCAAGCUUAAAGCUCCUUGGAAGAUAGUUCGGAAGAAGGCAGCUUAGGGAAUGUCCCUCUUGGUUUGUAUCUACUCUGAAAUAUUUCUCUCUCCCAUCUGCCCUCUUGCUAAACCAGAUCCAAACUGAGAAGAGUGUCCGACGCACUCUGAGGCAGCACGUGGCAUUAAAUUGGUGGGUUAUUCACCGUGGGAGCUCAAAAGACAGAAGCAUCACCUAAAACAACAUGAAAUAAAAGUAAUAACUGAGGGAAACAGGAUGGAGCGAAAAAGGAGCAAUGCAUUUAUGUUUAUAAUCUUUUUCUCCGCAUCGAUACGCAUCCUACUAUAAAUUCAUUACGCGUGUUUUCAUGUGUCCAGCCCUGUGGUGGAGGCUAUGCAGGAUGCAGAAGAUGUGCAGAGCCUAGCCCCUGUGCUCAUGGAGCUUUUCGUCUCAUGGGAAAGGCAUUAAUAAAGUCUUCCAUCUGUGUCACCCUCUCUAACAGGCAUUAUCCUGUUUGCAUCUCAGGAGCAGAAGAGGGAUCAGCAUUUCCUUGAUAUGAAGGAGGAAACUGAGCCUUAGAGGGUUGAAGGACCUGAGGAGACAGCAGGGGGAUUGGGGCUCAAGUCCCAGUGUCCUGACUCCAGGUUUCGUGUUCUUCCCACUCUGCCGUUAUUCUCAUCCAGCUUCCUCUGCAGACACUUCAUAGAGCUGUGACACGGGAAGCAGCGUGGCAGUGCCUCAUCGACUGGCCGUGACAAGGAGAAUUGACUCUCGGGAUAAGGAAAUCAAUGAGGGCUGAGGAGAGCAGCAAGGAAGGAGAGUAGAAGAUGGAGCUGGAGGAAACUGUAGGACUUGGCCAGAGGCCUAUCGAGGGAGAGCCUUCCAGACUCCGCGGGUCCUUGUGUGUGUCGUCCAAAGGGCCACAGAAAAGCCACCAGACACUGUGUUUUCAAGAGCUUAUGGAAGCAGUGAGAACGAGGUAAAUGUAUUCUCCC